GACGAACGCUGGCGGCGUGCUUAACACAUGCAAGUCGAACGGAAAGGCCCUGCUUUUGUGGGGUGCUCGAGUGGCGAACGGGUGAGUAACACGUGAGUAACCUGCCCUUGACUUUGGGAUAACUUCAGGAAACUGGGGCUAAUACCGGAUAGGAGCUCCUGCUGCAUGGUGGGGGUUGGAAAGUUUCGGCGGUUGGGGAUGGACUCGCGGCUUAGCAGCUUGUUGGUGGGGUAGUGGCUUACCAAGGCUUUGACGGGUAGCCGGCCUGAGAGGGUGACCGGCCACAUUGGGACUGAGAUACGGCCCAGACUCCUACGGGAGGCAGCAGUGGGGAAUAUUGCACAAUGGGCGGAAGCCUGAUGCAGCAACGCCGCGUGCGGGAUGACGGCCUUCGGGUUGUAAACCGCUUUCGCCUGUGCCGAAGCGUGAGUGACGGUAAUGGGUAAAGAAGCACCGGCUAACUACGUG
rnacentral:rRNA from 1 species